GACGUAGGGCGCGAGCGUUGUCCGGAUUUAUUGGGCGUAAAGAGCUCGUAGGCGGCUUGUCGCGUCGUCCGUGAAAACUUGGGGCUCAACCUCAAGCUUGCGGUCGAUACGGGCAGGCUAGAGUUCGGUAGGGGAGACUGGAAUUCCUGGUGUAGCGGUGAAAUGCGCAGAUAUCAGGAGGAACACCGGUGGCGAAGGCGGGUCUCUGGGCCGAUACUGACGCUGAGGAGCGAAAGCGUGGGGAGCGAACAGG
rnacentral:rRNA from 1 species